GAUGAACGCGGCGGCGUGCCUAACACAUGCAAGUCGAGCGAAGCACUUUGCUUAGAUUCUUCGGACGAAGAGGAUUGUGACUGAGCGGCGGACGGGCGAGUAACGCGUGGGUAACCUGCCUCAUACAGGAGGAUAACAGUUAGACAUGACUGCUAAUACCGCAUAAGACCACAGCACCGCAUGGUGCGGGGGUAAAAACUCCGGUGGUAUGAGAUGGACCCGCGUCUGAUUAGCUAGUUGGUAAGGUAACGGCUUACCAAGGCGACGAUCAGUAGCCGACCUGAGAGGGUGACCGGCCACAUUGGGACUGAGACACGGCCCAAACUCCUACGGGAGGCAGCAGUGGGGAAUAUUGCACAAUGGGGGAAACCCUGAUGCAGCGACGCCGCGUGAGCGAAGAAGUAUUUCGGUAUGUAAAGCUCUAUCAGCAGGGAAGAAAAUGACGGUACCUGACUAAGAAGCACCGGCUAAAUACGUGCCAGCAGCCGCGGUAAUACGUAUGGUGCAAGCGUUAUCCGGAUUUACUGGGUGUAAAGGGAGCGUAGACGGAUGGGCAAGUCUGAUGUGAAAACCCGGGGCUCAACCCCGGGACUGCAUUGGAAACUGUUCAUCUAGAGUGCUGGAGAGGUAAGUGGAGUUCCUAGUGUAGCGGUGAAAUGCGUAGAUAUUAGGAGGAACACCAGUGGCGAAGGCGGCUUACUGGACAGUAACUGACGUUGAGGCUCGAAAGCGUGGGGAGCAAACAGG
rnacentral:rRNA from 1 species